GGAUGAGCCCGCGGCCUAUCAGCUUGUUGGUGAGGUAACGGCUCACCAAGGCUAUGACGGGUAGCUGGUCUGAGAGGACGACCAGCCACACUGGAACUGAGACACGGUCCAGACACCUACGGGUGGCAGCAGUCGAGAAUUUUUCUCAAUGGGGGAAACCCUGAAGGAGCGACGCCGCGUGGAGGAUGAAGGUUUUCGGAUCGUAAACUCCUGUCAUUAGAGAACAAUGCAAUGAGGAAUAACUGCCUUAUUGUUGAUAGUAUCUGAAGAGGAAGGGACGGCUAACUCUGUGCCAGCAGCCGCGGUAAUACAGAGGUCCCAAGCGUUGUUCGGAUUCAUUGGGCGUAAAGGAUGCGUAGGCGGUAAGGUAAGUUGGAUGUGAAAUCCCGGGGCUCAACCUCGGAACUGCAUUCAAUACUGCUUUGCUAGAGUACUGGAGAGGAGAUUGGAAUUCACGGUGUAGCAGUGAAAUGCGUAGAUAUCGUGAGGAAGACCAGUGGCGAAGGCGAAUCUCUGGACAGUUACUGACGCUGAGGCAUGAAGGCCAGGGGAGCAAACGGGAUUAGAUACCCCGGUAGUCCUGGCAGUAAACGGUGCACGUUUAGUGUGGGAGGAAUCGACCCCUUCCGUGCUGGAGCUAACGCGUUAAACGUGCCGCCUGGGGAGUACGGUCGCAAGAUUAAAACUCAAAGAAAUUGACGGGGGCCCGCACAAGCGGUGGAGUAUGUGGCUUAAUUCGAUGCAAC
rnacentral:rRNA from 1 species